AAAGCUUCAGAGGAAACCUUUCCGCGGUUCUUCACUUCUCCCAAAAAAAAAAUUUUCGAAUUUUCUGGAGAAAAAAAAUCCUUUCGAAGAUUACUGCAAGAGGAAAUCAACGACAUUCUUAAAAUAGUACUGGUUUCAAGUUUUCCUUAAUCGUUCCUUUAAUUAUUGUUGAGUAUGUGGGUGUGAGGAAACUGACCAUUGACAAGUGUGAAUUCAACGGCUAAAGAAGUAGCAACAAAAACACAGAUAAGUUCUUUUAUUGCUUCUUUGGUUUUGGUUUUAUCAGACCAGUAGACACUCUUCUACUGCCGAUUCUUACUUUUUUGUUUAAUCAGACUCCAGAAAGAUCAUAGGCAGACACUAAUCUAUGGUGUUCUGCCAGAUUCUUAUUUGGGGACAUUGUCCUGAGUCCCUGUUGCGUGAAAGUUUAGACCCACAGGAAAUUCAAACCAUUGUUGGUAGUAAGCAUGCAAGAGAUGUUUGGGUAUGGAAAGUUAUACCAUGCUUACUUAAGUACCCACGGCUUUUCAAAAACAACCCACCGGCUUAAAAAGAAGAAGUCAUUAGACAGAAAUAGCUAUGUCUAGCUAUGAAAAUGAUGGAUGGAAAAGGACCAUCGGCUUACAAAAUGUCUUUAGACAAAGGCUAUUAAUUGGUUUUUUUGAGCUUGUUGGAUGGAAAUAACGACCACAAGUGAUGAAAACUAAUUGUCCCGAGUCCCUAUUGAGCUUGUUGGAUGGAAAUAACGACCACAAGUGAUGAAAACUAAUUGUCCUGAGUCCCUGUUGCAUGAAAUAACGAUCACAAUGGGGGGUUUGUUUGUUGUACCCACGGCUUAUGAAAAAUAGUAAGACAAAAGGGUUUGUUUGUUGUACCCACGACUAAUGAAAAAUUGUAAGACAAAAGGCUAGUAACUGAAAACAAAUGCAUUAAGACAAAAGGGUUUGUUUGUUGUACCCACGGCUUAUGAGAAAUUGUAAGACAAAAGGCUAGUAACUAAAAACAGAUGUAUUAAGGCAAAAGGCUUGCCAAAGAAGGUCUUUAGACACAGACUGUAAAUGAAAUCAACAUGUAUGUGUACCCACGGCUUUGCAAGAAAAACAGAUGCAUUAAGACAAAGGGGUUUGUUUGUUGUACCCACGGCUUAUGAGAAAUUAUAAGACAAAAGGCUAGUAACUGAAAACAGAUGCAUUAAUGCAAAAGGCUGGCCAAAGAAGGUCUUUAGACACAGACUGUAAAUGUAAUCAACACGUAUGUGUACCCACGGCUUUGCAAUAAAAUAUUCAGAGAAAGACUGCAUGAACAGGGCUUGCAAGAAAGGUCUUCAGACAAAACUGUGAGUGAAAACUUCUUCAUCACAUUUGUACCCACGGCUUUGCAAAAAGAAUUAUGACACUUGAUUUACAAUUUUGUUGGAUGGAAAUAACGACCAACAACUUUUAAAAGGUCUGUAACAAAGACACUGUAUGUACCUUCUUUACCCACGGCUUUAUCAAGUGUCUAUAGACAAAAACCAAAUCUAGACUAAUCUCAACCACAACUCUAUGAAGAGUUUUUAGACAAAAGACUGGGAAUCAAAACACACAUAUUGUUUUUACACACGGGUUCACGAAGAGUCUUCAGACAAAACCUGAAUCUAAAAUAGAUUCGUCGUUUACUACUACUACCCACGACUUAAAAAAAAUGGACUACAGCCGUGGGAAGGAAAACGACUUACAAAGAGUCUUAAGGAAAACACUAACAGAGUGAUCUAGUGAAAAGUACCCAUGGCUUGGUAAACUUUUGUUGGAUGGAAUAACGACCAGCUUCUCAGAAAACGUCCCAAAGCAAAGACUAUGAUUUUAAACCGAUAGUAGUAACCCACGGCUUAUAAAGGGUUGGAUUGAUAAAGUACCCACGGCUUAUUAGAUAAAAGACAAAUUGAAAACAGACUCAUUACUUUAGUAGUUCCUAACGGCUUUACUACACACGGCUUAAGAAGAGGCUAGAAAAUAUUACGACAACCAAAUGGUUUAUGAAGUCUACACAACUUGGUUUGUGAAGAUUCUCCAGACAAAGACUGUGAAUACCCAUUACCCACGGCUAAUGAAGAAUCCAUUAGACAAUAUUGCUACAUGUAAACCAACGGCUUAAAAGAAGUCUUGAGACAAAGACUGUGAAUACCCAUUACCCACGGCUUAUGAAGAAUCCUUUAGACAAUAUUGCUACAUGUAAACCAACGGCUUAAAAGAAGUCUUGAGACAAAGACUAUUUACCAAAUUCUUUACAUUAACCACAAGGUUUUAACUUGUUGGAUGGUAAAAACGACCAACAGCUUAUACCAAGUCUAAGACACUAUGAACCAAAGACUGAGUCGGUUUUUGGCUUUUUGGAUGGUAAAAAACGACCAACAAGUUAAACCAAGUCUUAAUAUAGAGAAAAAAUUGUCUCGAUACAGAGACUAUGAACCAAAAUUUUGAAUCGGUUUUUUGGCCUUUUGGAUGGUAAAGUAAACCAAGUCUUUAUAUAUAUAGACUAUGAAGCAAAAACUGAUUCAUUUUGCGUCAACUAAAGGCUAAUUAGUUAUGAAUUCCUCAGGUUUUGCAUGUGCUUCAGAAGACAGAGAUGAUUUCAAGUGUAUCAGAUUUCUUUGACAGGUAUGUGCUUUUCCAAAACUCGUUUGUUACUUAUAGUUGGUAUAAUUAUGAAAAUUACAAGCAGGAGAGACUGACAUUAAGUGAAGACUUGUUAUAUUUGUUUAGGUAUGUGCUUCGCAAACUGAUUUAUUUUGCGUCAACUAAAGACUAAUUAGUUAUGAAUUCCUCAGGUUUUGUAUGUUCUUCAGAAGACACAAAGAUGAUUUCAAGUGUAUCAGAUUUCUUUGACAGGUAUGUGCUUUCUUCACUUUUUUCUCUUACAAAUUGAUAUUAUUACGUAUGAAUGAAUACAAUCUAAGUGAUAUAUGCGUAAAGGUAAAAAAUUGGAAAGCUCUAUUUUAAAAUUAAUAAUGUUUUAUUAAGCUUUCUUGACAACGUUUCUCUCAGUGAUCUAGCAUCCAUGAGAUUCUAGAAAGUGACUGCUAGCAUAUCCAUUGAUGAGCAAGUAGAUUCAUUUUUUUUAAUAUUGAUGUAUUUACAGGAUUACAAAGUUUAAUCUUUAUUAUCUUUAAUUUGGUGCUUGUACGUAUGAUAAGGUCUUUUGUUGUUAUGGGUUUUAUGUGUCUUCGAGUCUCUUGUAGAUCAACGUAGGUGAGAGACUCCUGCAAACUGUGGUAAUAGUUUCUUUGAAUCUUUGAAUUAUUUUGAUUUGUGUCAUGCUUUUAACACUCACUGGUCAUUUUAAACGUGUUAGAAUCUCUUUGUUUUGGUGCUUGUAUGUAUUAUAAGGUCUCUCAUUUUAUGAAAUUGAUGUAUCUUGGAUUCUCUGGUAGAUCAACAUAUGUGAGAGAUUCCAUCAUGUUGUUGUAUUAGUUUUUUUUUGAAUCUUGAUGAAUGUUUAUGUUUUGUGUUAUGGUCUUAAGCCUCAGUGAUAACUGUAAACAUGUGAAAUGACUUCUUUACAACUCUGCAUAGUACAUAGGCUAAUGAUUGAUGUGUUAGAUUCAAUAAAUUGUAUAUGUUGACUACAUUUCUGUCAUUGAUCUAGUAUUCGUGAGAUUGUAGAAAUUAUUGCUUGUUAAUCCUUGAAAACAUUAAGUGAUAUAUACUUAUAAGGAAAUACCAUUUAAGGAUCAGAAAUGUUUCUUAAAGAACUAUUUUCGUAUUCUUACUAACAAUGUGUGACUAAGUAUCUGCAGGAUUCUAUAAACUGAUUGAUAAUAUAUACAUUCAUGAGAAAGUCUAUUUUAUUUUGUGUUACUUUGGUGCUUGUAUGUAUCUUGCCGCUUGUGGUAAUAGUUUUAUUGAAUAUUGAAUGUGUAGGUUUUGUUUUGUUACUCAAAUCUGUGAUUAUUUCUAACCAUGCGAACUGACAAGUUCAGAAUUUUCAUAUGCUGUGUUACAUUCUAUAAUUGUUACAGCUUAUCCCUUGGUCUCCUAGUCUUACACAGCUGAUGAAAAUCUUUUGAAAUAUCGUGUGUAGUUAGAUUGUGCAAUUGAUCUUUCUUGAUUUUCUAGGUGCUCUCAUGCUCUGAUAUUCUCUUGUAUCCAAAGUCUGUUUUGGUUAAUAGGAACCGUAGUGUUCUUUAAUAGGUGGUAGAUUUAGAAGUUCUUGACUAUAGUUUAUCAAAAUGCUCAAGUUUUUAGUUUAUUGCCUAGGCAAAGAAGCACAUUACAGAAAUUUAUAGGAGUGUUUCUAAGAAGUGGUAUUUGCGAUUGCUAAACUGAAUAGUGACUUGUGACUCCAUGUUAUAGAUUAAGACUAAAGUCGAUAGAUUCAACUGUAAUGUUUAGAGAUAAUAAAUAUUACUUCUUUAAUUAGACAAAUUGAAUUUCGUAUGUCAUAAACAAUCAUGUUCUCUGUAUGUUUUCUUAGCUUUAUGUUAGAUUAUUAGAUCUGUUUCAUGUAUUAUGGUUGGUCAUCCUAUCGUCUAUUGCUUGUUAUUGCCUUCAGCUGAUAUAACAUCUUUGACGUUUGCAUCUAGAUUCUUAGAACAUAAUUAGUUUGGUAAAAUUUUAUUUCUCCACUUUAUUUUCUUUUGGA